ACACUGUGGAACACUGUGGUGCAUUUCCUGUAUGCAGGAAAAAGCUGGGUCCUGUUUACGUAUCCAGUCUGUUAGUCUAUGCCUUUUAGUUGGGAAAUUGAAUGCACUGAUGUUAAGAGAUAAUAAGGAAAAGUGAUUAUUGCUUUCUUGAAUGAUUACUUUCUUGCUUUUUCUAGGGUGUUGUUUCCCUGCUUGUGUUGAAGUUUUCCAUCUAUUAUCCAUUGUAGGGCUAGAUUUGUGAAAAGAUAUUGUGUAAAUUUGGUUUUGUCAUGGAAUAUAUUGGUUUCUCCAUCUAUGGUAAUUGAGUUUUGUUGGGUAUAGUAGCCUGGGCUGGCAUUUGUUUUCUCUUAGGGUCUAUAUGUGAUCUGCCUGGUAUCUUCUAAGGUCCGUGGUUUCUGGUGAGAAGUCUGGUGUAAUCCUGAUAGUUCUGCCUUUAUAUGUUACUUGAAAUUUUUCCCUUACUGCUUUUAAUAUUCUUUCCAUUUUGUGCAUUUUGUGUUUUGAUUAUUUUGUGACAGGAGGAAUUUCUUUUCUGGUCCAAUCUAUUUGGAGUUUUGUAGACCUCUUAUGUGUUCAUGGGCUUCUCUAUGUUUAGGUUAGGGAACUUUUCUUCUAUAAUUUUGUUGAAGAUUUUUACUGGCCCUUUAAGUUGGGAAUCUUCAAUCUCUUAUAUAUCUGUUAUCCUUAGAUUUGGUCUUCUCAUUGUGUCCUGGAUUUCCUGGAUGUUUUGGGUUAGGCGCUUUUUGCAGUUUGCAUUUCUUUAACUGUUGUGUCAAUGUUUUCUAUGGUAUCUUCUGCACCUGAGAUUCUCUCUUCUAUCUUGCAUUCUGUUGGUGAUUCUUGCAUCUAUGACUCCUGAUCUCUUUCCUAGGUUUUCUAUCUCCAGGGUUGUCUUCCUUUGUGAUUUCUUUAUUGUUUCUAUUUCCAUUUUUACAUCCUGGAUGGUUUUGUUCAAUUCCUUCACCUGUUUGGUUGUGUUUUCCUGUAAUUCUUAAAGGGAUUUUUGUGUUUCCUUUUUAAGGUCUUCUACCUCUUUACCUGUGUUCUCUUGUAUUUCUUUAAGGGAGUUAUUUAUGCCCUUCUUAAAUUCCUCUAUCAUCAUCAUGAUAUGUGAUUUUAAAAUCAAAGGCUUGCUUUUCUCGUGUGAGGGGGUAACCAGCAUUUGCUUUGUUAGGAAAACUAAGUUCUGAUGAUGCCAAGUAGCCUUGGUUCCUGUUGCUUGCCUUUCACCAUCUGGUUAUCUAGGGUGUUAGCUAGUCUUGCUGUCUCUGACUGUGACUUGUCCUGCAAGCUUGUAUGUCAGUACUCCUGGUAGAACAGUUCUCUCUGAGAAGAAUUUAGGUAUGGAAAGCUGUCGUGCAGGGUCAGCUCAGGGGAGCAGGGAGAGACCAGAAGGAACCUGUCUCCAGUUGAUCUUUGGUUCCUGUGUCCUGAUGGAUCUGUGGGGGUCCCUCUUGGACCAGGGAUUUGAAGAGAAGUGGUUUUCUUACCUGUGCUCACAGGUAUGUAGGCACUCCUGUGAAACCAGCUCUCUCCUGGCAGUAUUUGUGUAUAUAGCUCUGUGGCACAGGAUUAGCUCUGGGUGCAGAUGGGAAACUGGAAUAUUCCUGUCCUAGGUAGCUACUUAGUUCCUGUGUCCUGAGGGUUCUGGGUGGGUUCCUCUGAGCAGCAGUGGUGAUCCUACCUGUGCUUAUAGGCCUGUCCAUACUCCUAGGAGGCUCAAUCCCUCCGGGCGCUAUUUUGGUAUGAAGCCCUGUGGCAGAGGGUCUGCUCCAGAUGCUGAUGAAAAUUGGAAGCCAUAGAUUCUAAUUCUUUGUCUUUUAAAUUUUUUGUGGUUUGUAUAUUAAGUUGACUGUGGCUUCAUAAAAUGAAUUUGGCAGUGUUCCUUCUGUUUCUAUUUUGUAAAAUAAUUUGAGUAGUAUUGAAUAAAACUUCUUAAAAAGUAAUAGAACUGU
rnacentral:lncRNA from 1 species